ACGAGUUAGGGCCUCUGGCCCGAACCUCCAACCCUUUGUAUCAAAACCUCGUUGCCUCGGGGAGGCCCUGCCUCACGGCUGGCCCCCCGAUGGACCACUAAACUCUGCAUCUGUAUGACGUCUGAGUAGAGAUUUUAAAUUAAAUCA
rnacentral:misc_RNA from 1 species